CAGAGGCAGGCAAAAAUUAUGCUUGCUAUGAUUGAAAUAUUUGACCACGGAGUGGUCAAAGUUCGCAGUUCUCUUUCGGAUAAAGACUUUGAGAAAUUAUUCUCAAUGGCAAAAGAACUGCGAAAUCUUAAUGCAGGCGCAGGAGGCAAAAAGAACUAUGAGUUCAUUAACCCCGUAACGACUCAUUCCGAGUUUACUCGGAAUGGAUAGCCAGGAUUUAUCUUGGUUAUAACACGCUAGCCCCCUUGUACGAUCAAACGAGGGGUGAAGACAUAGUCUAUACCACAAGUGAUUGUGGA
rnacentral:autocatalytically_spliced_intron from 1 species